AGGGAGUGCAGAAUUAUUAGGCAAGUUGUAUUUUUGAGGAUUAAUUUUAUUAUUGAACAACAACCAUGUUCUCAAUGAACCCAAAAAACUCAUUAAUAUCAAAGCUGAAUAUUUUUGGAAGUAGUUUUUAGUUUGUUUUUAGUUUUAGCUAUGUUAGGGGGAUAUCUGUGUGUGCAGGUGACUAUUACUGUGCAUAAUUAUUAGGCAACUUAACAAAAAACAAAUAUAUACCC
rnacentral:lncRNA from 1 species